UACGGAGGAUGCAAGCGUUAUCCGGAAUGAUUGGGCGUAAAGCGUCCGCAGGUGGCAAUGUAAGUCUGCUGUUAAAGAGUCUAGCUCAACUAGAUACAAGCAGUGGAAACUACAUAGCUAGAGUGCGUUCGGGGCAGAGGGAAUUCCUGGUGUAGCGGUGAAAUGCGUAGAGAUCAGGAAGAACACCGGUGGCGAAGGCGCUCUGCUAGGCCGUAACUGACACUGAGGGACGAAAGCGUGGGGAGCAAACAGG
rnacentral:rRNA from 1 species